rnacentral:rRNA from 1 species
AUUGUAUCCACGAUUGGGGAAUUUUCCGCAAUGGGCGAAAGCCUGACGGAGCAAUACCGCGUGAGGGAGGAAGGCUCUUGGGUUGUAAACCUCUUUUCUCAGGGAAGAGAAAAAUGACGGUACCUGAGGAAUAAGCAUCGGCUAACUCCGUGCCAGCAGCCGCGGUAAUACGGAGGAUGCAAGCGUUAUCCGGAAUGAUUGGGCGUAAAGCGUCCGCAGGUGGCUAUGUAAGUCUGCUGUUAAAGAAUCUGGCUCAACCAGAUAAAGGCAGUGGAAACUACAUGGCUAGAGUGCGUUCGGGGCAGAGGGAAUUCCUGGUGUAGCGGUGAAAUGCGUAGAGAUCAGGAAGAACACCGGUGGCGAAAGCGCUCUGCUAGGCCGCAACUGACACUGAGGGACGAAAGCUAGGGGAGCGAAUGGGAUUAGAUACCCCAGUAGUCAAUCGUGGAUACAAU